UGCUCCUGUUCGAGCUGCCCUCCCUCGGAGUUGGGGCCCACGAAGGAGCAGGAGCUCAGGGUGCAUCCAUUCCCGCCCGGGUCCCCGCGCAGAGGCCGUUACAGGUGUCCUCACCGGCUGCAAGGUGUCCCCCGCGAUGACCACUGCCCGGCACUCCCUCACCAACGGGCGGGGUGCCGAAUCCGUCUGCGCGACAGAGUCGGUGGAGGAGGCACGAGGGGAGGCUCCUGUUCCUUCACCUCCCUCCCACCAUCCUCCAGGGCGGCCCCAGCCCUGGCCCCUCCGUUCUCAGACAACUCACCCUGGACAGAAGCCCAAGCCCUGCAACCUCCAUGGAAUGAGCCUGGGCUCCAGCCUUGCUGUGCUCAAGAACACGAAGAGUGAGCCAUCCCCACGCUACAGUGAAGUCCGUGCAUCUUUGUCAGGCAGAUCCCAAAUCAUUGGCUUCCCAUAAGGAAUACUCUGGAUGAAGAAAAGAAUUAAUCUGAAAAGGAGCCAGAAUUCCCUGUGCAGCCAAUGCCUCCCUUCCCCUCAUCAGCCUUCAUGCAAGUUUAACUUACAAACGAACUUUGGCAGGAGUAAAUAAAAAAAAAAUAAAAUAAAAAA